GUAAAGAUGACUGAAGAAUGGCAUGGGAUGGAUCCUUUCGAAUGCACUUGAGCAGCAGUCUCCCAACCACAGGGCCACAGAGCCAGAGCUGGAUCUACCAUGAAAGACUUCUGAAUCCAGGAAAAGAGACUGACUGGGUAACAUGUUAUUCAGGAGAUGGGGUCUCACCCUGUCACCCAGGCUUGAGUACAGUAGUGCUAUCACAGCUCACUGCAGCCUUGAACUCCUGGGCUAAGGAUCCUCCUACUUGAGCCUCCUGAGUAGCUGGGACUGUAGGUAUACAUGACGAUACUUGGCUAAUUUUUAAAUUGUUUUGUAGACAUGGGGUCUCACUUUGUUAGCCAGGCUGGUGUCAAACUCAUGGCCUCAAGUGACCCUUCC
rnacentral:lncRNA from 10 species